rnacentral:tmRNA from 1 species
GGGGGCGACAUGGCUUCGACGCCGGUGACAAACCUUGCGGUGCAUGCCGAGAGCGUGAUGUAUCUCGUAAAUCCAACAUCACGACUAAAUAGUCGCAAACGACGACAACUACGCUCAGGGCGCGCUGGCAGCUUAAACGCUGUUAGCUUCUUGUCCGGCCCGAACGCGAUGUGCCCAUUCAUCGCCGACGGGAUAUGAGCCAAGACUGAUGGGAUCGCGGCUGGUGGUGUCCUCUCGCCAAUCGCUAAACUUGACGAGGAAUCGCGCUUCUGGAUCCUGACCGUCGGAGCCAGCGGCGUUAAAUCAAACGACGGAAUCUAAGCAUGUAGAGCCAAUGGGCGAGUGCCGGCGGACGCGGGUUCGAUCCCCGCCGCCUCCACCA